rnacentral:rRNA from 1 species
UACGGAGGAUGCGAGCGUUAUCCGGAUUUAUUGGGUUUAAAGGGUGCGUAGGCGGAUCGUUAAGUCAGUGGUCAAAUUGAGGGGCUCAACCCCUUCCCGCCAUUGAAACUGGCGAUCUUGAGUGGAAGAGAAGUAUGCGGAAUGCGUGGUGUAGCGGUGAAAUGCAUAGAUAUCACGCAGAACCCCGAUUGCGAAGGCAGCAUGCCGGCUUUCUACUGACGCUGAAGCACGAAAGCGUGGGGAUCGAACAGG